CUGUCCCGAUUUGUCCCGCAUCUCGUUCUCUGCUUUCAAAUUCCCAAAAUCUUCCUUCGCCAUUAUAGUAGGAGACAGGCGACAAUGGCAUCAUGCGUAAACUCUGUUAUCGCCUCGUGUCCGCCUCACCGUUUCAAGUAUCGACGGUUUAAAUACAUGACAUAUCGAUGCAUCAUUGCCAUUCCUACUGAUUCUUCUUUCUCUCUUCUUUUUCUUUCACGGGAUUUAGUCGCUUGUCGCUUACGUUUUGUCGCAAGGUCUUUUGUCUUUUAAUUUUAAGAGACCUUGUUGUAGUGUACUUCUGUUCUGUGGUGUACUUGUACUUUGGUGUUUGGUGUACUUCACAGAAGGUAGAAGGUGUACUUGCUCCUUGCUCCGUGUCCGUGGUCCGUGCAGUGAGUGCUUUACCCGAGAUCAAACGCGUUAUGUUGAGUUAAUUCUUUUUUUUUGCAACAAAAUGGAUUCAGAUUCCUCAGUGUCCUCUGAUGAGAUUGACUGGCUAGGGGUAAAUUGUGGUGUUUUUGAAGAUGAAGAUGAUGUGGUCAAUGUCGUCAAUGACGGAAAUUCCCGAGAAUUUGCCAACGGUGUUAACGAUGUUAAAAAAAUCAAGAACUUUUCCCGGGAAAAUACAGCGGCGGCUGCGUGUUCCAUUUUGCAAAAAAAUAAAAGAAAAAGAGAGACGUCUGGUAACAAAAAUGGCCAUCAUCGGGGGUUUUCUUGAGUACGGACCUGAGAAUAAUCGAUAAUGGUGGUUAUCGUCAGCAUUUAUUAUAGUUUCUUAGCAAUCAUGUUAACUUUAUA